rnacentral:rRNA from 1 species
AACGAACGUUAGCGGCGCGCCUAACACAUGCAAGUCGCACGAGAAAGGGCUUCGGCCCCGGUACAGUGGCGCACGGGUGAGUAACACGUGGGUAAUCUGCCUUCGAGCGGGGGAUAACAUUCCGAAAGGAGUGCUAAUACCGCAUAAGACCACGCCUCCGAAAGGAGAAGCGGUCAAAGCCGGCCUCUAUUCAUAAGCUGGCACUCGAAAAUGAGCCCGCGGGGCAUCAGCAGUUGGUGAGGUAAUGGCUCACCAAGGCUUAGACGCCUAGCUGGUCUGAGAGGAUGAUCAGCCACACUGGGAACUGAGACACGGUCCAGACUCCUACGGGAGGCAGCAGUGGGGGAAUCUUUGCGCAAUGGGCGAAAGCCUGACGCAGCGACGCCGCGUGAGUGAUGAAGGCCUU